UCCAUCCCGUUUCCUGCCCCAUUUCCAUCCCAUUUCCUGGCCUGUUUCCUGCCCCGUUUCCAUCCCAUUUCCUUGCCCAUUUCCAUUCCACUUCCUGGCCUGUUUCCUGCCCCAUUUCCCACCCCAUUUCCUUCCCAUUUCCUGCCCCAUUUCCAGCCCCAUUUCCUGGCUCAUUUCCAUCCCAUUUCUUGGCCUGUUUCCUGCCCUAUUUCCAUCCCAUUUCCUGCCCCAUUUCCUGCCCCAUUUCCAGUCUGUUUCAGGUCCCAUUUUCAGACCCAUUUCCAUCCCAUUUCCUGCCCCAUUUUUUGCUCCAUUUCCAUCCCAUUUCCUGCCCCAUUUCUUGCCCCAUUUCCACCCCAUUUCUUGUCCCAUUGUCAGUCCCAUUUCCCCCCAUUUCUCCCUAUUCGUUUCCCAAUUUCCCCAUAUCCCCCCAUUUCCCCCCAUUUCUUUCCCAAUUUCCCCAUUUCCCCCCAUUUCUUUCCCAAUUUCCCCAUUUCCCCCCAUUUUCUCCGCAAUUUCGCCCACUUCUCCCCCAUUUCCCCCCAUUUCUUUCCCAAUUUCCCCAUUUCCCCCCCCACAUUUCUUUCCCAAUUUCCCCAUCCCCCCCCCAUUUCUUUCCCAAUUUCCCCAUUUCCUCCCCAUUUCCCCCCCUCAUUUCCCCCCAUUUCCUUCCCAAUUUCCCCAUUUCCUCCCCGUUUUCCCCUCCUUUUCCCGAUUUUGGCGUUUCUCACCCCAAUUUCUGGCCCCGCAGGCGCUGCGGCCGCAGCUGUCGGUGCCGUGCUCAGCGCUGGCGGCCUCACCCAGCACCACGGAGCCGGGACGGGACCACUCCUUCCUCCUCAGGGUCCGUUUUGGGGUGAAAUCCCGCGAUUUUGGGUCUGCGGUGCUUUGGGGUGGGCAGGAGGGGGCUGGGGGGGGCGAUUCGGGGCCGGUUUGGGGCAAAUCGGGGGGAAUUUGGGGCGCUUUGGGGGGAUAUGGGGGAGUCUGGGAGGGGGUUGGAAUAAUUGGGAAUUUGGGGGGAAUUUGGGGGGAUUUGGGGCAUUUUGGAGGAUUUGGGGCGCUUUAAUGGAUUUGGGAGAUUCGGAGGAUUUAGGGCAUUUGGGGACAAUUUGGGGGGAUUUGGGGCAAUUUGGGGGAAAUGUGAGGGAUUUGGGGGCAAUUCGAGGCCAAUUUGGGGGCAGCUUGGGUGG
rnacentral:lncRNA from 1 species